GCCUCCUACAUGGUGCAGUUGGAACCAUUAGGAAAGAUCCCUGGGUGUGGAACCCAGAGGACGUCGGUUCGAAUCCGACAGGAGGCA